rnacentral:rRNA from 1 species
GUUAUAUGGUCAAGUGAAGAAGCGCAUACGGUGGAUGCCUUGGCAGUCAGAGGCGAUGAAAGACGUGGUAGCCUGCGAAAAGCUUCGGGGAGUCGGCAAACAGACUUUGAUCCGGAGAUGUCUGAAUGGGGGAACCCACCUAACAUAAGUUAGGUAUCUUAAGCUGAAUACAUAGGCUUAAGAAGCGAACCAGGGGAACUGAAACAUCUAAGUACCCUGAGGAAAAGAAAUCAACCGAGAUUCCCUUAGUAGUGGCGAGCGAACGGGGACCAGCCCUUAAGCUGUAUUGAUGUUAGCGGAACGCUCUGGAAAGUGCGGCCAUAGUGGGUGAUAGCCCUGUACGCGAAAACAUCUUUGCAGUGAAAUCGAGUAGGACGGAGCACGAGAAACUUUGUCUGAAUAUGGGGGGACCAUCCUCCAAGGCUAAAUACUACUGACUGACCGAUAGUGAACUAGUACCGUGAGGGAAAGGCGAAAAGAACCCCGGAGAGGGGAGUGAAAUAGAUCCUGAAACCGUAUGCGUACAAGCAGUGGGAGCCUACUUUGUUAGGUGACUGCGUACCUUUUGUAUAAUGGGUCAGCGACUUAUUUUCAGUGGCAAGCUUAACCGAAUAGGGGAGGCGUAG